rnacentral:lncRNA from 1 species
GCCUAUCAGCCAAAGAAGGAGGGGAAGAGAGAUAAGGCUCAAGGGGAAAAAGCUGAAAAAGCUGCGCAGAACGAUAGACCCCUCCCCCUCUGGUUCUUUUUCUUCUUCUUCUUCUUCUUCUUCUUCUUAUUCUUAUUCUUCUUCUUCUUCAGUGUUUCAGCACAAGACACAGACCAAAAAAUGCCUAAGAUCUCUCCCUGAAGAACGAUCAGCAUCGUUCAGUAUCCGAAACGACAUCCCCUUUCGUUCGUCUUCUGCAACAGAGACGGAGUCGCUCCCAUUCAUCUCCUAGAGGCCCCUGUUUCUUCACCUUCAUUCGAGUUCCACAGAAGAAGCUCCAGCAACAACUACCAAGAAGCAGGCCCCCAUAACCGUUACCCCAUCUCCUUCACAAAAUCAAAACAGAAACGGAGUUGCACCUAGGAGAUCCGAGUUUGAGUUCGAGGUUUUUCCGGGUUCUGCGCUCGUUCGUGGUUUGAUUCGCAUUUAACAUUGAAUCUUUGAGCUGUUCUUUGCUAUUGUUUCGAAUUUUCUGGUCAAGCUU